rnacentral:rRNA from 1 species
UACGGGGGGGGCAAGCGUUUGUUCGGAAUUACUGGGCGUAAAGGGCUCGUAGGCGGCCAACUAAGUCAGACGUGAAAUCCCUCGGCUUAACCGGGGAACUGCGUCUGAUACUGGAUGGCUUGAGUUCGGGAGAGGGAUGCGGAAUUCCAGGUGUAGCGGUGAAAUGCGUAGAUAUCUGGAGGAACACCGGUGGCGAAGGCGGCAUCCUGGACCGAUACUGACGCUGAUGAGCGAAAGCCAGGGGAGCAAACGGG